UGUCGGUGGCCAAGGCCUUCCAGUGCCGGGGCUGGAGCGCCUGCAGGAGGAGCGUGGGCAGGCAAGUCCCGGCAAGGGUGCUGCUUUCCUGGGCCUGAGCCACGCCCAGUGGCCGUGGGGCUGGGGAGAUGGCAGAUGUGGGGGAGAAUGUUGAGGCUGGUGAUCGGUGAUAGCUGCGGCCCAGCCAGUUUGGGUACUGCAUGCGCCAUCCAAAGCCCCGAGGCCCGGGAGACGAGCCAGCCCAGUCAGAUCGCCAGUGGAGAGCCAGGCCGGGCAGCUGGGAGACCUGGCUGCAACGGUGCCUCUGGGCUCCAGGGGUAGGUUUGGCCUCAGCGGUCCUGACUCAGGAUGCCCCGGCCUUCUCCACGGGUGCCCAGCACAGGGGCUCCUCCCAGGGCCAACACUGCACUCUCCAAGGAUUUACUCUACCCUCUGGAGUGGGACCCCUGGCAUCACCCGUGCCACCCCACCUUCCUUGCUGGGCCAGCCUCCACACGGCCGAGAGUGAUGAUGUGGUUGAUAAUCACCACCACCAUUAUCGAGCCCAUUUCACAUGCUGAGCCCUGAGCCCCAGACACACAUAGCCUGGGCUCGUCCCCUCCUGCCCUGCUCCCGCGCUGUUCGUACCCUCAAGGUCCCUGUGUGUGUUUGCUGCAAGCGGCAUUUGGGUAGGUUCUUUGCAUCUGUUUUCUCUACUCCUUGCAACAGCCUUGUCCCCAUUUUACAGAUGAUAAAUUGAGCCACGCAGAGGAGAGGUAACUCCCUCCUGUCCUCAGAGUGUCCCGAAGACCCUCCUUUGCCUGGUGAGUGACAUACUAGAGCCCGCACGGUGACAGCUCAGGUAUGUGGCACCCCUCGGACCCACCCCUCCCUGGGUGGAGUGGCCCAGCUGUGGUGGGCACUUCCUCACCCAGCCGUGGGCACAGGCCAGACCCUGAGCCCAGCGGCCCUGUAAUUUCAGAUGUAGCUGGGCAUGUGUGUGUUAUUGGGUGAUACUUAAAUCCUAACCUUUUCAAAAGCAAACCCAAGUAAGCACAUAUUGGAGAACCAUAAUUCCAAGCUUGGAGGCCUCCCUCAAGGCGAUGGGGAGUGUGGCAUCGUGACCGCUAACCCGGUCCCUCCGCGGCCUUGGGUUUAAAAGCGUCUGUGUCCAGCCGGGAGGUGAACUCCUGACAGCAACGCCCGUCCAGCCCACACCUCUGCCUGGCAGUGUGCAGCAGGACCCCUGAAGCCCAAGUCGAGAGCAGCGCCUGGUCUCCACCCGAGACUGGGUGGCGGAGAAGCGCUGCCUCUGACCUCAGUGAGCAUGGAGAGGCGGUGACAGGUUUGGACAGUAGAGAUUUCAGCAAUUUCUGGAAGGGCUUCAUUUGAGGCUGGGUCCGAGCACCGCCCCGCAGCCUUCCUGGCCCCAGCCCUUCACAGGAGCCUGCUCGGGGAGCCUCGUGGGCGUCAAUGGAGCUGGACGGGGGGCUUCCUCUGCACCCCCAGUGCAGAGGGGACCCCCUCUGUCCCUGACUGUCCCCUCGCCACCACAGCCUGUCUCAUCCAUCUCAGCUCACCACUCCCACCGCCCAGGGGGUCUCCCUGCCAGUCUGAACAGGACCUGCCUCGGAAGCAGAAUCGGAUUCCGCUGACUGGGACAACGUCACGUGACAGCGAGUCCAGCGCCCGGGGCCUGGGAGAACAAAGGCGGCUGACCCGUCACAGGAGCUGCACGGCAAUGCAUCUGAGACCAUGCGGUGUCACCUUCACAGAAGUGCUCUGGCACAGAGACUCCAGCCUUGCCGGCCUCUCGCCUCCCAAGCACAGAAGCCUCCAGAACGCUGCUUCAAGGACAAGCCCAGGAGACCUGCCAUGCUCAUGCGUGUCUUUGGAAACAGAAGCCGGACAGGAAUUGAUCACAUCCACUAGUGAAGGCUCAGAAAGUGACAAGAUUUCAUUUGGAAAUCGUACCUGUGUCCUUGGGAACAUCCUGAACCUUGGGAAGCAUCAGCUCAUGGAGUUCCUAUUAACUGGAUAAAUUUAUAUUCUAGAUUGAAAUGGAAUGGAAUUAAGUAGGCCCACGGUUUUGCAGCACGUACAUUUGAAGAAUCAUUAAAAAUCAUCAUAGAAACAAUUUAUUUGACGAGAUUUGUCUUGUACAAAUAUUUGUUAAAUAUUUGUACUCCGAACGGAGGCCAAAAGACAGCACCUGUGGGAAACUUUAGGCUGAAAUAUUUACACAUUUCAACGCAAAAUGUCAGAACUGAGAAUCUGCCGUGUGCUCACAAGGUACCCCAACCCUGCAGAGAGAGACAAUUUUCUUGAUCCAAAUGUCAUCAUCUACCCAGAAGUGUCCAUGGACAGCACAGAUUCACAUUCUGGGGCCGUUAAAAUGUGAAUGUGAGCUAUCAAUGGACACUUCUGGGUAGAUCAUGACCUUUGGAUUAAUUAAGAUUGAUCCAGGCCCGGCGCAGUGGCUCAUGCCUGUAAUCCCAACACUUUGGGAGGCCGAGGUGGGCAUAUCACUAGAGGUCGGGAGUUCGAGUCCAGCCUGGCCAAUUUGGUAAAAACUGUCUCUACUGAAAAUACAAAAAUUAGCUGGGCACGGUGGCAGGUGCCUUUAAUCCCAGCUGCUUGGGAGGCUGAGGCAUGAGAAUCGCUUGAACCCAGGAGGAAGAGGUUGCCGUGAGCCAAGAUUGCGCCACUGCACUCUAGCCUGGGUGACAGAGUGAGACUCCAUCUCAAAACAAACAAACAAACAAACAACCCAAAAAAUUAGC
rnacentral:lncRNA from 10 species